rnacentral:rRNA from 2 species
UUUGUACACACCGCCCGUCGCUACUACCGAUUGAAUGGCUCAGUGAGGCGUCCGGACUGGCCCAGAGAGGCGGGCAACUGCCACUCAGGGCCGGAAAGCUCUCCAAACUCGGUCAUUUAGAGGAAGUAAAAGUCGUAACAAGGUCUCCGUUGGUGAACCAGCGGAGGGAUCAUUA